UACGAAGGGUGCAAGCGUUAAUCGGAAUUACUGGGCGUAAAGCGCGCGUAGGUGGUUUGGUAAGAUGGAUGUGAAAUCCCCGGGCUCAACCUGGGAACUGCAUCCAUAACUGCCUGACUAGAGUACGGUAGAGGGUGGUGGAAUUUCCUGUGUAGCGGUGAAAUGCGUAGAUAUAGGAAGGAACACCAGUGGCGAAGGCGACCACCUGGACUGAUACUGACACUGAGGUGCGAAAGCGUGGGGAGCAAACAGGAUUAGAUACCCUUGUAGUCAGGGCCGAGUACAGU
rnacentral:rRNA from 1 species